rnacentral:rRNA from 1 species
UACGUAGGGGGCAAGCGUUGUCCGGAUUUAUUGGGCGUAGAGAGCUCGUAGGCGGUUUGUCGCGUCUGCUGUGAAAACCUAAGGCUCAACCUUGGGCUUGCAGUGGGUACGGGCAGACUAGAGUGCGGUAGGGGUGACUGGAAUUCCUGGUGUAGCGGUGGAAUGCGCAGAUAUCAGGAGGAACACCAAUUGGCGAAGGCAGCUCGCUGGGACGUUACU